rnacentral:rRNA from 1 species
UAAAGAUCCGUCGGAUGAGGAUAGGCUCGCGUGACAUUAGCUAGACGGCGGGGUAACGGCCCACCGUGGCGACGAUGUCUAGGGGUUCUGAGAGGAAGGUCCCCCACACUGGAACUGAGACACGGUCCAGACUCCUACGGGAGGCAGCAGUGAGGAAUAUUGGUCAAUGGCCGGAAGGCUGAACCAGCCAUGCCGCGUGAAGGUCAAUGCCCUAUGGGCGUUAAACUUCUUUUGUGCGGGAGCAAUAAGGGCCACGCGUGGCCUGACGAGAGUACCGUACGAAUAAGCAUCGGCUAACUCCGUGCCAGCAGCCGCGGUAAUACGGGGGAUGCAAGCGUUAUCCGGAUUUAUUGGGUUUAAAGGGUGCGUAGGCUGUGAGGUAAGUCAGCGGUGAAAUGCCCCCGCUCAACGGGGUGAAGUGCCAUUGAUACUGCCUUGCUGGAAUGCGGAUGCCGUGGGAGGAAUGUGUGGUGUAGCGGUGAAAUGCAUAGAUAUCACACAGAACACCGAUUGCGAAGGCAUCUCACGAAUCCGCGAUUGACGCUGAUGCACGAAAGCGUGGGUAUCAAACAGGAUUAGAUACCCUGGUAGUCCACGCUGUAAACGAUGAUGACUAACCGUCGGCGAUACACAGUCG